GGGAGAGCAGGGAACAAUAGCAUCAAAGCGGGGACUGCACAGCCGCUUCUGAGAAUGGCUUGUGGCUCCUGUGGCCAGAGGGCUAGGUGGGGGCGGAGUGGAGGAGAGACUGAGGCUGGAGAGGAGAGUCAGGGGCCCAGAGGCUGUUGAGAAGCAGAAGAGUGCCCAUCCAUGGUUCUUCACAGAAUAGACCUUCAGUCAAUGCUGUUGACAGACUGAUUGAUGUGUCUGAAAACGAAGAGUGAUUCCUGGUGAGUCAGAGGUUUUCAUUUACUCCAUGUGUUUUGGCUUCAAACCCUACAACAGUCAUGCCCGAUGUUUCAAAACCAGAACUGCAAUCGCCUUCCUUCUACAGCCAGGUUGCCACAGAGAUGGGGCCUAGAGAACAAAAUGCUUCUGAAUGGAUCGAUCGAGGCAUAUCUGAAGAUAGAAAGUUCCAAAGGCUUUCCUGGACUGCCUCUAGGACGGGCCCUAUUAUUAACCUCCUCUGUGAGGCUGAGCUGCUGUCUGGCCUCGCGCGACUGAAAUGAUUUUCUCCUGGACUCACGCCGUGGCUUUGUAGGCCACAACCACUGCCUAGAAGCCAAGUCAAUCUGAGAAAUAAGGGAGGCCCUAGUGGUUUGUGGUUUUAGAAGGCGUUUCCUUUGACAUUAAGCCCGGGAAAGGACAAGCAAGCCACAGCAGGUUCAAGAGAAAGGGAGCAAAGCCUGGUUUGGGGUGACCAGAGGUGAUUUCCCAGCCCCGUCCCUUCUAGCAGCAAGACCCCCACAGGAUCAAGUGCCUAUGGGGGUCAGGGGGAGGGAAUGCCCAGAGACAUACGUGCAGCCGACUGCAGGGGUGCCGCUGGUAUUCAGAGAGAGUGUCAAGGAAAGGGCAGCUCAGGAGUCGUGAGCUGUGCACUGUGAAACAGCUGAGUGGGCACUGGAGCGGGAGGGGCAGGGAUGGAGGGAGACACUGAGACUACAAACGUGCAACCGAAUGGAAUUUAGUCUGUAGAUACUUCCUGUGGAAUUAAGCAUGCCCUACUGUCCGGCCCACUGACAUGGGAGAAAGGGUCUUUCCAGUUCCAAUUCACAAAAGAGGAGGCUGCAACUUGCAUUCUCAGGGAUAAAUGCCCCUGAUAGCAGAAAGCCACUGGCCUCCACGACUGGCAAAAUAAGUACAUGCCUGUAACAGUGUGAUCUCAAGGGUGCUGCACAAACUUCAGAGCUUAAAAAAAAAAAAAAAGACAUUACUUGUCCCCGAGCAGGGUAAUGCCUAAAAUUCCAUUAUUGCUUUUUCCCAAGGCUUAAACAUUGGUGGAAGUACAAAUAUGCAGGGGGAACAUUUCAAGUAUUUCGUCAGGUACACCUCAGUGUCUGGAACUCUUUUAGAUCCUGUCCUGUGGGCAGGUUUUCUGAGGGGAGGAGAUGAGGAGGUGAGAGAGUUGGGGAACUCCAAGUAACAAGAAGGAAGAGGCUUGGAGGGGCAGAGGAAGGGGCAUACAGGGCUAACACAGUGAUCCCAAACAGGCUGUCCUUUCCACAGUUUUGCCCAGGGUCGGCCAGCCCUUCAGAUCCUUGCCAGAUUCAUUCGUUGCUGCACCAUCCUUAAAAGAAAUAGGGCAUCACGUUCUCCUAACCAGCACCGACUUCAGGGUAUGGUACCUGCACAGUCACCUAGGGCUUGUGUUCAGAAGGGCCCACACUUUAAUGCUCUGCAGUUGCCAUCUUAAAAUACCUUAUAUUUUUGGAAUAAAGGGCCCCACAUUUUCACUUUGCAUUAGGCCCUACAAAUUAUAUAGCUGGUCCUGCUCUUAACUAUCCCCUAGCAAAUCACAAAAGCCCUCUGAACAGAGGUCAGUCUAAACUCACAAUUCUCUCUUCAUCACACAUGUUAGUUCCUUCAGUCUAUUUUUACACGUCAGGGAAUAUUUGAAGAAAUGUCCUUAAUUCCGAGCACUUUAAUUCACCUUCACCAACUAAGCUUCUUUUGAGGUGACUUAGGCGUCAUGUGACCCAUCCUAUUAUUAGCACAUGCCUAGCCAUCCCCAACCCACCCCCCACCCACAAACUCCUGCUUUCCCUGCCCUUAUAUAUACCUGUCUCUUAGCAGAAGAGUGACACAUGAACUCCUAGCCUCAAGAAUACUUGGCGUGGGUCCCUGUUUCUCAGCCGUAUCUAUUGUUCUAGUCCAGAAUGACACUGGCUUCUACGCGUGUUUCUGACAUUUCUGACUUUUAGUGGGGAAUGCCAUUAAUCAAUCGGCUGCAUCUGUUUUGGAAACAUUAAAUAGCUCAAGUCAAGGCAAACACAGUAAAUAAUCCUUCAACAAUCCAGGAGAGUAGUGGGGGCAGAGAAGGCAGGGUUGUGUCUUCUAGUUAUCUGAAAUGCAUUUAAUCUGCUGCUGGAUCCUCUGCACCUGGGCUAGGGUUACUUACUGGACACAGAAAGAAGAGGUCAAAAGCUCUUUAAAAAUGUGAGGCUCAAACCAGGGUAUUAAGAGUGUAAGUGUGCUAUUCAACACAUGUGUUGUGGACAAUGAGUUAGCCAAUGGGAGGCUGGGAAGAGGCUCUUCCCUGUGGUUUAAAACUAUAGAAAUAUACUCUAAUUCUUUAGUAAGUACGGCCUCCCUAGGGAGAGGCAGUAAUGGUACAGUGGUUAGGUAUGGUGGAGUCAAACCAGCUGGAUUCCAACCUUGACUUUUUCCCUUACUAAGCAUUGACCUUGGGGAAAUUACUUAACCAUACUGUGUCUCCAUUUCUUUACAUGCAAACUAAAAAUGUAACAACUAUGUCAGGGUUAUUGAGGGAAUAAAUUAAUUAGUGUCUAUGUGGUGAAUUGAAGAUGGCUCCAAAUUCAUUGACAUUCCUUCCAUUGAGAGGUGGGAUUUUAUUCUCUCCUCCUCUUAAUUCUGGGCUGGCCUGUUACAACUUUGGCUAGUAGAGUGGGGCAGAAGUGAAAUUUGCUAGUUCUGGGCCUACCCUUGAAGAGAACUAGAAGUUUCUAUCUUAGUCUCUUGGAGCCCUAAGCCAAGAAGGUUGAUUUCCUCAUUAGAGAAGCCACAUGGAGAGGCAGUGAGAACACAAGAGAAGUGGGACACAACUGAACACAGGCUUCCAGCCCCUCCACCAAGGUACCAAGAUAUGUGAGUCAAGCCACUUUGGACCCCAGAAACCAGCCCAUCUACCAGCUGGAUAACAUUGAGUGACCCAGUGUGAAGCUGAAGAAAUGCCCAGCAGAGCCCUGCCCAAAUUUCUGACCCAUAAUAUCGGGGAAAUAUAAUAAAGUGGUGGUUGUUUUAAUGUACAGAGUUUUAAAGUAGUUUGUUAAGCAGCCAUACACAAAUGGAACAA
rnacentral:lncRNA from 10 species